UACGUAGGUGGCAAGCGUUGUCCGGAUUUACUGGGCGUAAAGGGCGCGUAGGCGGCCUUCUAAGUCGAACGUGAAAUCCCCGGGCUCAACCCGGGAACUGCGUUCGAUACUGGAAGGCUUGAAUUCGGGAGAGGGAUGCAGAAUUCCAGGUGUAGCGGUGAAAUGCGUAGAUAUCAGGAGGAACACCGGUGGCGAAGGCGGGUCUCUGGGCCGAUACUGACGCUGAGGAGCGAAAGCGUGGGGAGCGAACAGG
rnacentral:rRNA from 1 species